AUCCUGGCUCAGGAUGAACGCUAGCUACAGGCUUAACACAUGCAAGUCGAGGGGAAACGAUAUUGGAAGCUUGCUUCCGAUAGGCGUCGACCGGCGCACGGGUGAGUAACGCGUAUCCAACCUGCCCAUCACUUGGGGAUAACCUUGCGAAAGUAAGACUAAUACCCAAUGACGUCUCUAGAAGACAUCUGAAGGAGAUUAAAGAUUUAUCGGUGAUGGAUGGGGAUGCGUCUGAUUAGCUUGUUGGCGGGGUAACGGCCCACCAAGGCGACGAUCAGUAGGGGUUCUGAGAGGAAGGUCCCCCACAUUGGAACUGAGACACGGUCCAAACUCCCUACGGGAGGCAGCAGUGAGGAAUAUUGGUCAAUGGACGAGAGUCUGAACCAGCCAAGUAGCGUGCGGGAUGACGGCCCUAUGGGUUGUAAACUGCUUUUAUAAGGGAAUAAAGUGAGUCUCGUGAGACUUUUUGCAUGUACCUUAUGAAUAAGGACCGGCUAAUUCCGUG
rnacentral:rRNA from 1 species